rnacentral:tRNA from 1 species
GGGGGUAUAGCUCAGUCGGGAGAGUGCCUGAAUCGCAUUCAGGAGGCAGCGGUUCGAUCCCGCUUACCUCCA